rnacentral:rRNA from 1 species
UACGGGGGGGGUAAGCGUUGUUCGGAAUUACUGGGCGUAAAGGGCUCGUAGGCGGCCAACUAAGUCAUAUGUGAAAUCCCUCAGCUUAACUGGGGAACUGCGUGUGAUACUGGAUGGCUUGGAUUUGGGAGAGGGAUGCGGAAUUCCAGGUGUAGCGGUGAAAUGCGUAGAUAUCAGGAGGAACACCGGUGGCGAAGGCGGUUCUCUGGGCCUUACCUGACGCUGAGGAGCGAAAGCGUGGGGAGCGAACAGG